AUGAACGCUGGCGGCGUGCCUAAUACAUGCAAGUCGAGCGAACAGAUGAGGAGCUUGCUCCUCUGACGUUAGCGGCGGACGGGUGAGUAACACGUGGAUAACCUACCUAUAAGACUGGGAUAACUACGGGAAACCGGAGCUAAUACCGGAUAAUAUAUUGAACCGCAUGGUUCAAUAGUGAAAGACGGUUUUGCUGUCACUUAUAGAUGGAUCCGCGCCGCAUUAGCUAGUUGGUAAGGUAACGGCUUACCAAGGCGACGAUGCGUAGCCGACCUGAGAGGGUGAUCGGCCACACUGGAACUGAGACACGGUCCAGACUCCUACGGGAGGCAGCAGUAGGGAAUCUUCCGCAAUGGGCGAAAGCCUGACGGAGCAACGCCGCGUGAGUGAUGAAGGUCUUCGGAUCGUAAAACUCUGUUAUUAGGGAAGAACAAAUGUGUAAGUAACUAUGCACGUCUUGACGGUACCUAAUCAGAAAGCCACGGCUAACUACGUG
rnacentral:rRNA from 1 species